ACACACACACACACACACACAGAAAAAACACACACAAGAGUGAUCUACAGCCAGACAGGAAGCCGCCCCCCCCUCCUCUGUUUCCAGUUUCCAGCAUGGAUGGAUGUGUGUGUGUGUGUGUGUGUGUGUGUGUGUGUGUGUGUGUGUGUGUGUGUGUCCAUGCUCGCUCUGUGCAGGCAAUCGGCUGGAGGCAGACUGAGCGACGCUGGAAGAGAAUGACACACACACAGGAGAAGAUAGUGGAGGUUAGAAGCAAUAUUACGGGAGGAGAAAAAACAUGCGCAAAAUAGUUUACAGGGCACGAAGGAAUAGAACAAAAAGAAGAGCUCGGCAUCCUGACUGGAACUACCAGGUGAAACCUCUUACCAAGCGGCCCUGGAAGCCACCAGCUGAUUGGAGCAAAAGGGGAAUGAAAGGCCGUGGAAGCCAGGAUGAGCCGGAUGAGCUGGGAGUAGCUGGAGGCGUGCAACUUGCAGAACAUCCGUCGAGGGACAUAACAGCAACCGAACCUCGACGAAAGUUGCGUCCUAUUGUCGACAAACUGCUCCUGUCUGCUGUUGUUGUUGUUGUUGUCAGACAGCUGCAGCUGGUUUUACGGGGGAUCGUAAACGCGCUGAGACGUGCCUCCUCACUCCUCCCUCCUCCCUCCUCCCGCUGGUACGAGGUUUCCUCCCAGAGCUUCAACGUGUGGUUUUACCUGCACGUGAAAACUGCGUAGAAGUAUUUUCAGAUGCAUCAGCGGAACAGGGAGAAGCCUCGGCCUCGUGGGCUUUAUUCUGAACCAGGAUGAGCAGAAGAAAUGACCCCAUGUGAGACGUUUGCAAGGCGCAAACCCAAAGAAGUAGCAGCUGCACCCCCC
ensembl:lncRNA